rnacentral:lncRNA from 1 species
UACCGCGCCAUGGAGGCGACAACCAUGCAAAACAACCAACCAUCAGGUAAGUUUUUUGUUCCUGCUCGUGUACGUGUAGUGUUCUUGUGCAUGGAUGUGCUUGUUCGUGAAUUUGUAUUAGUGAUUGGAGUAGAGAACAAGAGAUUUGUAGUGGUCAAUUUCUGUUUGCUAGUUCGUGGAAAGAGAAAGAUGGACUUUACUGCAUUACUUGAUCUGUAGUGGUCAAUUUUAAUCAGAUUAGACAACAAAUCUGACUACAAAGUGAAAUCUGAGUGCAAAUCAGUGAACAAGAUAUUUGUAGUGAUGAAUUUUAGUCAGAUUCCACUUUUGUACACAUGACCUGAUCUAUAGAUAUGCAUGUUAAUUAGUAAUUCAUUCUUUACAAAAUCAGUUAGUUCAUUUUUUAAUUUCAAUCAAGUGGGCUGUGAAUGAUUCAUACGAAAUUAUAAUCUAACGUAUUAAUAUCCAUUUGCUCAACUUGGUCCAUGUCAUGUGCUCAACUUUGUCAGAUAUGUACUGAAGAAAAGUACUCACAGUCUGUGGCUUUAGUUAUUAUGUAGUUUUUUUGGUUGUAAAAAUUACAAUUUAGGUACCGAAUUUGUACAGUUCGGACAAGAGAUUUGUUUCAACUAAAGCAUGUGCUCAACCAUGUCAUGGGCAGUAAAGGUCUCAUAGUCCAUGGCUUUAGUUAUUAGUUACUUUGGUUGUAAAAAUUGCAAUUUAGGUACAUAAUUUGUACAGUUCAGACAUUAUGUACAUGGUACAAUACUGGUUGUUUAUUUCCAUGAUCUUAAUUAUCGUUUUUAUGAUCUGUUCACAUGAAGGAUGAGUCCGAGUCUAUCAUAACUGAAGCUUAGUCCGUCAUGCGGUGAAGAAGGAAGAUGUUGGCUAGAAGAAUACCUUCCUUCAUUUGUAAUGAGAACGGUGAUGUACUUAUGUCUCUUGGCUGUAAGAAACUAAGACUGAGAAUUAUGUUGGGCUAUUCCUAUGUCAUUUUGUAAUAAACCAAGGCUGAGAGUUUAUGCUACUAUUCCUAUGCCAUUCUGUGACGAACUAAGGCUGGAAUUUUGUACUUAUACUUAUUUGAUGUUUAGCUAUGUCAUUCCAUGAGAAUCUGAGAGCUUAUUUCAUGUGGUGCACUUCUCCAAUGUCAUUUUGCGAGCAUUUGAAAAGUUAUUUAAUGUUGUG